rnacentral:rRNA from 1 species
CCUACGGGUGGCAGCAGUGGGGAAUAUUGCACAAUGGGGGAAACCCUGAUGCAGCGACGCCGCGUGAGUGAAGAAGUAUUUCGGUAUGUAAAGCUCUAUUAGCAGGGAAGAAAAUGACGGUACCUGAUUAACAUGCCCCGGCUAACUACGUGACAGCAGCCGCGGUAAUACGGAGGGUGCCAGCGUUAUCCGGAUUUACUGGGUGUAAAGGGAGCGUAGACGGGAGCACAAGUCUGGAGUGAAAUGCCGCGGCUUAACCCCGGAACUGCUGUUGAAACUGUGCAGCUAGAGUGCAGGAGAGGUAAGUGGAAUUCGUGGUGUAGCGGUGAAAUGCGUAGAUAUUAAGAGGAACACCGAUGGCGAAGGCAGCCUACUGGACUGUAACUGACGUUGAUGCUCGAAAGCGUGGGGAGCAAACAGGAUUAGAUACCCCGGUAGUC